rnacentral:rRNA from 1 species
GACUAACGCUGACGGUGUGCCUAAUACAUGCAAGUCGAACGAGUAGUAUGUUGGUGGCAACACCUUUAUACUGCUAGUGGCGAACGGGUGAGUAACGCGUGGGUAAUCUGCCUUAAAGACUGGGAUAACUCCUCGAAAGAGGUGCUAAUACCGGAUGGUCUAUAUUUAUCUUAUGAUUUAUAUAGUAAAGGUAGCCGCAAGGCCUCUGCUUUAAGAUGAGCUCGCGUCCUAUUAGCUUGUUGGUGGGGUAAUGGCCUACCAAGGCAAUGAUGGGUAGCCGGUCUGAGAGGAUGGUCGGCCACACUGGGACUGAGAUACGGCCCAGACUCCUACGGGAGGCAG